rnacentral:rRNA from 1 species
UAGCUUGCUACCUGACCUAGCGGCGGACGGGUGAGUAAUGCUUAGGAAUCUGCCUAUUAGUGGGGGACAACAUUCCGAAAGGAAUGCUAAUACCGCAUACGCCCUACGGGGGAAAGCAGGGGAUCUUCGGACCUUGCGCUAAUAGAUGAGCCUAAGUCAGAUUAGCUAGUUGGUGGGGUAAAGGCCUACCAAGGCGACGAUCUGUAGCGGGUCUGAGAGGAUGAUCCGCCACACUGGGACUGAGACACGGCCCAGACUCCUACGGGAGGCAGCAGUGGGGAAUAUUGGACAAUGGGCGAAAGCCUGAUCCAGCCAUGCCGCGUGUGUGAAGAAGGCCUUUUGGUUGUAAAGCACUUUAAGCGAGGAGGAGGCUACUGAGAUUAAUACUCUUGGAUAGUGGACGUUACUCGCAGAAUAAGCACCGGCUAACUCUGUGCCAGCAGCCGCGGUAAUACAGAGGGUGCGAGCGUUAAUCGGAUUUACUGGGCGUAAAGCGUGCGUAGGCGGCUUUUUAAGUCGGAUGUGAAAUCCCUGAGCUUAACUUAGGAAUUGCAUUCGAUACUGGGAAGCUAGAGUAUGGGAGAGGAUGGUAGAAUUCCAGGUGUAGCGGUGAAAUGCGUAGAGAUCUGGAGGAAUACCGAUGGCGAAGGCAGCCAUCUGGCCUAAUACUGACGCUGAGGUACGAAAGCAUGGGGAGCAAACAGGAUUAGAUACCCUGGUAGUCCAUGCCGUAAACGAUGUCUACUAGCCGUUGGGGCCUUUGAGGCUUUAGUGGCGCAGCUAACGCGAUAAGUAGACCGCCUGGGGAGUACGGUCGCAAGACUAAAACUCAAAUGAAUUGACGGGGGCCCGCACAAGCGGUGGAGCAUGUGGUUUAAUUCGAUGCAACGCGAAGAACCUUACCUGGUCUUGACAUAGUAAGAACUUUCCAGAGAUGGAUUGGUGCCUUCGGGAACUUACAUACAGGUGCUGCAUGGCUGUCGUCAGCUCGUGUCGUGAGAUGUUGGGUUAAGUCCCGCAACGAGCGCAACCCUUUUCCUUAUUUGCCAGCGGGUUAAGCCGGGAACUUUAAGGAUACUGCCAGCGACAAACUGGAGGAAGGCGGGGACGACGUCAAGUCAUCAUGGCCCUUACGACCAGGGCUACACACGUGCUACAAUGGUCGGUACAAAGGGUUGCUACCUAGCGAUAGGAUGCUAAUCUCAAAAAGCCGAUCGUAGUCCGGAUUGGAGUCUGCAACUCGACUCCAUGAAGUCG